AACGAACGCUGGCGGCGUGGAUAAGACAUGCAAGUCGAACGGGAACUUCAGCUGUAGCAAUACAGUUGAAGUUUUAGUGGCGAACGGGUGCGUAACACGUGGGCAAUCUGCCGAGAAGUGGGGGAUAGCUCGCCGAAAGGCGAAUUAAUACCGCAUAUGAUCAGCUAAGACAUCUUAGCGACAUCAAAGCCGGGGCAACCUGGCGCUUUUUGAGGAGCCCGCGGCCUAUCAGCUAGUUGGUGAGGUAACGGCUCACCAAGGCUAUGACGGGUAGCUGGUCCGAGAGGACGACCAGUCACAC
rnacentral:rRNA from 1 species